rnacentral:rRNA from 1 species
UACGUAGGGUGCAAGCGUUGUUCGGAAUUAUUGGGCGUAAAGAGCUCGUAGGCGGUUUGUCGCGUCGAAUGUGAAAACCCGGGGCUCAACCCCGGGCCUGCAUUCGAUACGGGCAGACUAGAGUUCGGUAGGGGAGUCUGGAAUUCCUGGUGUAGCGGUGAAAUGCGCAGAUAUCAGGAGGAACACCGGUGGCGAAGGCGGGACUCUGGGCCGAUACUGACGCUGAGGCGCGAAAGCUAGGGUAGCAAACGGG